rnacentral:rRNA from 1 species
GUGACUCAUAGUAACUUAAUCGGAUCGCAUGGGCUUGUCCCGCGACAAACCAUUCAAGUUUCUGCCCCAUCAUGCUUUCGAUGGUAGUGUAUUGGACUACCAUGGCUUUCACGGGUAACGGAGGAUUAGGGUUCGAUUCCGGAGAGGGAGCCUGAGAAACGGCUACCACUUCCACGGAAGGCAGCAGGCGCGUAAAUUACCCAAUCCUGACUCAGGGAGGUAGUGACAAGAAAUAAUGGGUCGGGGUUCUGCCCCGGGACCGCAAUGAGACGAAUUUAGACCCCUUAUCGAGGACCAAUUGGAGGGCAAGUCUGGUGCCAGCAGCCGCGGUAAUUCCAGCUCCAAUAGCGUAUAUUAAAGUUGUUGCAGUUAAAAAGCUCGUAGUUGGAUUUCUGGUAGUGGGCAAGAGCUCGUUGCACGUUGCUCGCGUUCAUUGCCAUCCUUCUGUUAACCUAUCAGGGCAUUCUAUUGUCAGUUAGGGGCUCAGAUAUUUUACCUUGAGAAAAUUAGAGUGUUUCAGGCAGGCUUGUGCCCGGAUACAUUAGCAUGGAAUAAUGGAAUAGGACUUUAGCCUCUUCUGUUGGUCUGAGGGGUUGAAGUAAUGAUUAAUAGGGAUAGUUGGGGGCAUUAGUACUUAACUGUCAGAGGUGAAAUUCUCGGAUUUGUUAAAGACUAACUUAUGCGAAAGCAUUUGCCAAGGAUGUUUUCAUUAAUCAAGAACGAAAGUUAGGGGAUCAAAGACGAUCAGAUACCGUCCUAGUCUUAACCAUAAACUAUGCCGACUCGGGAUCGGGGGCCAGAGUUAACUGCCUUCGGCACCGUAUGAGAAAUCAAAGCCUUUGGGUUCUGGGGGGAGUAUGGUCGCAAGGCUGAAACUUAAAGGAAUUGACGGAAGGGCACCACCAGGCGUGGAGCUUGCGGCUCAAUUUGACUCAACACGGGGAGACUUACCAGGUCCAGACAUAGUGAGGAUUGACAGAUUGAUAGCUCUUUCUUGAUUCUGUGGGUGGUGGUGCAUGGCCGUUCUUAGUUGGUGGAGUGAUUUGUCUGGUUAAUUCCGUUAACGAACGAGACCUUAGCCUACUAAAUAGUCGCAACAAUUACGAUUGGCUGCGUCUUCUUAGAGGGACUUUGCAAGCAACUGCAAGGAAGUUUGAGGCAAUAACAGGUCUGUGAUGCCCUUAGAUGUCCUGGGCCGCACGCGUGCUACACUGACGCAUACAGCGAGUAUCACCAGCUCCGUGAGGCUGCUGGUAAUCAGCAAUAUGCGUCGUGCUGGGGAUAGAUCUUUGGAAUUUUUGAUCUUGAACGAGGAAUGCCUAGUAAGCGCAGGUCAUCAGCCUGCGUUGAUUAAGUCCCUGCCCUUUGUACACACCGCCCGUCGCUCCUACCGAUUUCGAGUGGUCCGGUGAACCCUUUGGACCGAGAGCGCCUCGUGAGCUUUUGGAAAGUCGAGUAAA